GAUGAACGUUGGCGGCGUGCCUAAUACAUGCAAGUCGAACGAAGACUGUAGUAAUACUGUCUUAGUGGCGAACGGGUGAGUAACGCGUGGGUGACCUGCCCCGAAGUGUGGGAUAACAGUCCGAAAGGAUUGCUAAUACUGCAUAAUAUCCAAGAGAUUAGAUGCUUUUGGAUUAAAGGAGUAAUUCGCUUCGGGAGGGGCCCGCGUCCCAUCAGCUAGUUGGUAAGGUAAUGGCUUACCAAGGCGAUGACGGGUAGGGGACCUGAGAGGGUCGGCCCCCCACAAUGGAACUGAAACACGGUCCAUACACCUACGGGUGGCAGCAGUAGGGAAUAUUAGUAAUGGGCGAAAGCCUGAACUAGCAACGCCGCGUGUGCGAAGAACGGCCUUCGGGGUCGUAAAGCUACUUUUUGAGAGGAUGGAGGAGGACGGUACUCUCAGAAUAAGUCUCGGACUUAACUACGUGCCCAGCCAGCCGACGGUAAAAGUGUGUGUA
rnacentral:rRNA from 1 species